UCUGCCCUUAGGUACGGAAUAACAGUGAGAAAUUACUGCUAAUACCGUAUGAUGUCUUCGGACCAAAGAUUUAUCGCCUAANGAUGAGCCCGCGUUGGAUUAGCUAGNUUGGUGGGGUAAAGGCCUACCAAGGCGACGAUCCAUAGCUGGUCNUGAGAGGAUGAUAGNCCCACUGGGACUGAGACCCGGGCCANACUUCUACGGGAGGCAGCANUGGGGAA
rnacentral:rRNA from 1 species